AUAGACGCUGCCUGACCUGCUGAGAUCCUCCAGCAUUUUGUAUGGGUAAUUGUCAGGUUGUUGGUGAAAAGCAGGAUAUAUCCAUUCAAAAGUCAAAGGCAAGGCCGCAGUCAGUUCAGAUUGGCAACAUCUCCAUCAGCACAGGUGCACUACAAGGCUAUAUGCUUAGUCCCCUGCUCUAGUCACUUUAUUCUUAUGACUGUGUGGCUAACAACAGCUCCAAUGUUAUAUUCAAGUUUGCUGACAGCACCACUGUCAUUGGCCAAAUCAAGUUGAUGACAAAUCAGUAUAUAGGAGGGAGACUGAAGAUGUGGCUGCAUGGUGCCACAACAACCUGUCACUCAAUGUCAGCAAGACCAAGCAGCUGAUUAUUACCUUCAGGAGGAGGAAACUGGAGGUCCACGAGCCAGUCCUCAUCAGGGGAUCAGAGGAGGAGAAGGAGACAGCAGGAGUGGCCUGAUUUGAUGGACACAGUCAUUCAGUUGAUGGCUAGCUGAGACCCCAUUAGUAGGGAUAAAAGACAGGUCUGGAGAGACACCUUUCAGACACACCACUGGACACUGACUGAGUGUUGUGAUCCCACAAGAAGGUGGGGGCUUCGGAGACCGAAUCAGGAGAUUGGUCAACAAAGCUCACAGUGUGACGGCAGGGCCGGUGGGGACUUGCUUGUGUGUCCACUCAUGCCAGAGUGAUGAGUCCACCACAGAAGAACGGAGGGGUCAUAACUGAAUGGCCACAACGACACGACGGGUUAAGAAAGCCACAGAAGAUUUGCCUGCUGCAGCUACCUAAUCUCCCGCACUCACUCACUCUCUCUCCAACGAUUACAAUACAACAACUAUAACUACCUCAGCACACAUGAACUGAACUUUAUACUUUUCUAUGACAAUUCAUUUACCCCUAGACAUCGAUGGAGCUUGUUUAUUAUUGCUUAUUAUUAUUCCUACACUUUUAUGUUCAUUAUUGCUAACCUGUUUUAUAUGCAUAUUUGCAUUUUUGAUACUGUAUUGUGUAGUUUACUAAUAAACCUUUAGUUUUGGUACCACCAGAC